rnacentral:lncRNA from 1 species
AGCAAGCUUGCAAAAAAAACACUGCUUUGUAAAUGAAGAGCAUUAUGAAGAGCAAAUGAAAUAUGAGACAUUCUUCCCUCUUUAUGCAAAGCAGGCUUGUUUUUAAGUACAUCCUUACCCCUCCUGGAGAAGGUCUGCACAGCCAGAGGGGACACAGUGACUUCCCAGAGCUUCUCCCCCUUUUGCUGGAGGCGGGUUUCAGAGCGUUCUUAACCUUGCUCUCUCAUCUACAUGAUCAUCACCACCUGGCAACUCUGGCAGGAAUUUUCAUGCUCUCCACUUCCCCCAGGCCUGUAACAGCCUUAGGAAGGCUUUAAGGCAGUAGAAAAGCAAAAGCAGCCUAUCCCAUUUCUACCCCGAAGGCCUCUCUUAAAAGUUAACGUAAGUUGUUAAAGCACAACUGCCACCCCUAGAAGGGAAUCUUGCAUAACUUCUCUCUUCUAACAGCUUUCCUCAGCACCCAAAGCCCUGACUGCAGGCAAGCAGAAGUGCCUACACAGCAGCAAGCCAGUGCAAUGUGGUAGAUGGAAAAUAGCCUAGGAAGGCAGGAGUGAAGAGCUGCAGCUGUAAGUCACAGCACAAGUAGAGGGCCAGAGCAAGAAACACAAGGUACUGCAGUUUAUCUAGAUACAGGUACUUUAUUUACAAAUAUUUAGAUUAAUAGCAUUGUUACAUCAAAUGAGGAGUACAGCAGUCCGAACAAAUCCUUUCUGUGACAGAAACAAUAAGGCCUACUGUAACUUACUCUGGGAAUACAGGUAUUGCACCUCAACAAGCUGUAGUCAUUAGAACAUUUACUUCCAAACUUCAUGGCAGCAGCAGGUCCUGGUCCCUGGGCAAACCCCGCUGUGGUACAACCUUGGUUUAAGCAGGACGCAUCAGCUGUAGAGCUCAAACAUACCCAUCUACUAAAGAUACUAGUUAAAAAAAACUAACCAGACAAAACAAAGGGACAGCGCACAAACAAGUUACCCAAAUCCUAUUGUCUGCACAUUCCAGUUUUUUUUUGGCUUUUAUUUAACAUUGACUGUACAAUACUCUGGUACCACUGUUGACUUACACGUCUGAACAGUUUAUAGUUUUAGUGUCUAGGAAAGGAAUUAAAGACUACUUUGUAUUUUAAGCACUGCAGUAAGACUAGAAGUUGGACAUCUGAUCAUGGUUAAACACCCUUUCUUUUUUGAAACUGUAAUCAAUGUUUUCUUAAAUGAAGCUAUAUGUGACAUACACUGCUGCAUACAGAGUGACACAUUCUAGUCCUGACAACACAAUAAACCCCACAUGUAGUUUGUUUUGUACACAUGUGGGUUUUGCUAUCUCCCCUUUAUAGAAGUACUGCAUGUGCCAUCCCAGGAAGGCAGCACCCUUCAAGAAGAAACCCUCAGCUGUAGUGUUAAAAUACAACAGUAGCUACAACUCCCUAGAGAACACAAAUUGUUCUGACUGUCCAGUUCAGUAUCUGACCAUUGAAAAAGUUAAAGGUAUAAAAGCAUAAGAUGUGCAAGAGAACCAGCCUUGGUAUACAAAGCAAGGCAGGUAACAAAGCCCAAUAAUGUGAAAUGCUUACAGAAGAAAAAGCAGGUUAGCACACUGCUGAUUGCACAGAACAGGAUUAAUAACAUGGCAUAGAUAUACCACAGUGCAAAGAUGAAGGACAGAUUCCACUAGUGUUAAUUUCAGCACUGGGAUUAGAGUUCCCCCAGCACAAUGUCCACUGUCAUCACCAAGGAGUUAAGCUGCUGUUAGUGAACUGCAGUUACACCUAUGUCUGUACUGAUGGGCAAUGUGGUCACAUACAGGUCAUACUGUACAAACUGAUAUUUUCUUAUAUACUGUUCUAAUGCCAGUAAUCAUUUUCUUCAUUAAAAUCAUAUACACAGGAUGUAUUUAACUGUUAGCUCAGUUCCUUCAAAUUUUAUACAUAUUUACGUUCUGUUAGCAAAUGGAUAAAAGUGGCAAAAAAUGAUGUAAAGCUAUGAGCACAAGAAUGAAUGGUUUGUUUCCCUGUGCAAGUUGUACACUCCUGCGCCAGCCCCCCCUGCCCCCAACAUGCACACCAUGGGGAAUUCUUUCAACAUAGCACAUUGGUACAGAGCCCCUUUCUACCAUCAGAAGUCAUUUCACAGCAAAAAAAAAAAACCCAAAAACUUAUCCUUUACUAUGGACAGCUCUACACAGUUAAGAGGUGGGGAAGAAAGGCUGAAGAACCAUAAAAUUAAACCAUACAAGACAAAGCCCUGCAAAAGUGUAAAAUCAUGAGUCCAGCAUCAGUGCUCAGUUUAAAUUAUGUAUCUGUGACACUAUCACAAGGACAAUCAAGGAAAAAAAAACUUCUAGAUUCACCAUGCAGGAGAGGUUUUAUUACUCUACUUGCCUUGGAUAACCUGAUUACAUCUAAAGUUGUUUAGCAGUUUAGUACUGUGUUAAACUUGUUUCAGUUUUAAUUAAACCCAAUAAGAUGUACAGAAGACAGGGAAGCAAUCAAAAGCACUGCUCCCAACAGACAGAGGUGAAAGGUCAGAAAUGAAGCCAUGAAAGAGGUCACUAGCAGCCACAGCCUUCUCUCUGGGGCUGGGGUUCGCUGGUUAGCCGCCCCCCCUGCGGAGCUGAUGGUUUGUGCUGUACACCUGACUCUGCAGCGUUCAGAUCCAGGCUUCCAUCUUGGAUAUUCUGGUAGAUUUUCUUGGCAGCCUCCAGGAAUGCAUCCUCAACAUUCUCUCCAGUUUUUGCACUUGCUUCAAGGAACAAUAAACCGUUUUCUUCAGCAAAUUGUUUGGCUUCUUCAUAUGUAACAUCCCUCUGUGCUUCCAGAUCUGCUUUAUUUCCUAUGAGGAUUAUCACAGUAUUUGGAUUGGUGAGAUUCCUUGCAUCUGUCAGCCAGCUGCUUAAGUGAUUAUACGUACUUCUUCUGGUAAUGUCAUAGACCAUGAGAGCUCCUGCUGCUCCUCUGUAAUAGCUUCGUGUGACAGCCCUGAAUCUCUCUUGUCCUGCUGUAUCCCAGAUCUGUAGUUUAAUUUUUUGGCCACUAACUUCAAUUAUUCUUGUGCCAAAUUCAACACCAAUUGUGUGGGGACAGUCCGCCAUAAAUUUCUUUUCCGUGAAUUGGUGAAGCAAACAGGACUUUCCUACACCCAUGUCCCCAAUAAUGAUGUACUUAAAGAUGUAGGAGUAGUUGUAAGGUGCAGUUGCCAUUGUGGCACUGGGCUCCGGGAGCGUGUGGCUGUGCAGCGUGGCUCUGCCGGCGGCAGCCCGGUCCCCCUACGGGCACUGGAGCGCUCUGCUCGUGCUGGGCAGCGGCCGGGCCGAGUCCCCACCUCACUCCGGCGCUCUCUCAGGCUCUGCUCCGCUGGCUCCACUGCGCCCCCAUCACCCCCCUUAUCCAAG